CCAACAUGGUCAUGGGAUCGUCAAGUAGCGAUCCACAAAGGAGGAUAAAGGGGAUUGACAACCCAAGCUUUGUGGCUCUUGCAUGACCUCUCAUAAGGCCCAAAACCACGCCUCGUUUUCUUACAUGCAUGUUUCAUGUCAGGUGGUGGUGUGGGUUUCGGUACGUAUCAAGUGGCAGGGCGGCUAGAGAAUUUAUUGUCAUGCUAGACAUUAGGAUAUAUGUCACACGUUAUGACAUGAUCUUGUGUGAGGAAAAGGGGAAGACGGAUCUCGAGUUAGAUGAUGUGAUCUCGUGUGAAUGGAAGGGUGUGGAUCUUCAAUGAUGUGAAGUGAUAAUUUUCAUAUUUUGAAAGCGAUCUCAUGUGAGUGGAGUGGGGGGUGAUCUUGUUGGAAAUAUGCCCUAGAGGCAAUGAUAAAAUAGUUAUUAUUAUAUUUCCUAUUACAAGAUAAUCGUUUAUUAUCCAUGCUAUAUUGUAUUGAAUGAAAACAUAGAUACACGUGUGGAUACAUAGACAAAACAAUGUCCCUAGAAAGCCUCUAGUUGGCUAGCCAGUUGAUCAGGGAUGGUCAAGGUUUUCUGACUAUGUGUAAGUGUUAUCACUUGAUAACUGGAUCACAUCAUUAGGAGAAUCAAGUGAUGGACUAGACCCAAACUAUGAAUAUAGCAUUUUGAUCGUGUAAUUUUAUUGCUAUUGUUUUCUCCAUGUCAAAUAUUUAUUCCUAUGACC
rnacentral:lncRNA from 1 species